rnacentral:lncRNA from 12 species
GGGGGGGGGGGGGGGGGGGGGGGGGGGGGGGGGGGGGGGGGGGGGGGGGGGGGGGGGGGGGGGGGGAGCGCGGCCCCGCGCCCUCCCCGCCCCGGCAGCACCGCCCCCUGCGCGGGCACGACCGCGGCGGCGCGCUCCCCCCGGCCUUCCGUGUGCGCAUGCGCCCGCGCGCCGCGGGGUCGUCCCACACGCGCUGAGACAUCGGGACACACACGGGCAUACGCACCCUUCCCUCCCGCUCUGGCGGCUGCGGCGAGUCAGAAUCCCAGAAUCAGUUGGGUUGGAAAAGAGCUCCGGGAUCCUCGGGUCCAACCUGUGACCGGACACCACCCUGUAAGGCCUGACACCAUCACUUCUGCCUACUUUUCUCCACACCACUCUUGCCAACACCAAAACCCACGACUUUCAAUGCCAUCACUGACUGAAGAAGAAACAAGUAAAAAGUGCUCUAGAAAAGCCUCAGAGCAGGUUUACCUGAUUGGACUUGGCAUGACCUAUGUGUGAAAAUCUCACUACAGCUCUGCAACUACUCUGGCUGCAGGUUUUUUCCAGACUUACUUUAUGAUGCACGUAAAACAGCAUCUUAAAUUACAUCUUUUAUUUACAGUGCAAUAUUUAAUGUUGUUGUCUGGUGGUCUGCUGGGCUUUGUUAACAAAACCAAUGUUCCACUCUGUUUAUGCAUUCUUACCCUUGGGAUCUGGAAGAUAAACUGGACAACAGAGGUUUUUAUUCUUCUAUGUUAACAUAGAAGAGGAAUGUUAACUCUGUUAUCUCCG